rnacentral:rRNA from 1 species
AACGAACGCUGGCGGCAUGCCUAACACAUGCAAGUCGAACGAGAUCUUCGGGUCUAGUGGCGCACGGGUGCGUAACGCGUGGGAAUCUGCCCUUUGGUUCGGAAUAACAGUUGGAAACGACUGCUAAUACCGGAUGAUGACGAAAGUCCAAAGAUUUAUCGCCAGAGGAUGAGCCCGCGUAGGAUUAGCUAGUUGGUGUGGUAAAGGCGCACCAAGGCGACGAUCCUUAGCUGGUCUGAGAGGAUGAUCAGCCACACUGGGACUGAGACACGGCCCAGACUCCUACGGGAGGCAGCAGUGGGGAAUAUUGGACAAUGGGCGAAAGCCUGAUCCAGCAAUGCCGCGUGAGUGAUGAAGGCCUUAGGGUUGUAAAGCUCUUUUACCCGGGAUGAUAAUGACAGUACCGGGAGAAUAAGCUCCGGCUAACUCCGUGCCAGCCGCCGCUAACA